GAUGAACGCUGGCGGCGUGCUUAACACAUGCAAGUCGAACGAUGAACCGGGUGCUUGCACUCGGGGAUUAGUGGCGAACGGGUGAGUAACACGUGAGCAACCUGCCCCUGACUCUGGGAUAAGCGCUGGAAACGGCGUCUAAUACUGGAUAUGUCCCGUCACCGCAUGGUGUGCGGGUGGAAAGAUUUUUCGGUUGGGGAUGGGCUCGCGGCCUAUCAGCUUGUUGGUGAGGUAAUGGCUCACCAAGGCGUCGACGGGUAGCCGGCCUGAGAGGGUGGCCGGCCACACUGGGACGGGGACACGGCGCAGACUCCUACGGGAGGCAGCAGUGGGGAAUAUUGCACAAUGGGCGGAAGCCUGAUGCAGCAACGCCGCGUGAGGGAUGACGGCCUUCGGGUUGUAAACCUCUUUUAGCAGGGAAGAAGCGAGAGUGACGGUACCUGCAGAAAAAGCACCGGCUAACUACGUGCCAGCCGCCGCCGUAA
rnacentral:rRNA from 1 species